rnacentral:snoRNA from 1 species
ACGACCUUACUUGAACAGGAUCUGUUCUAUAGGCUCGUACUACUAUAUCCUUGAGUUCUAAGGAGACACAAAACCAAGUAUGGUGGAUGAAUCAUGGUCAUUAGGCCAGAGCAUUAUUAACAGCCUCCAUCGCCUUCGGGUCAUGGAGUUGUAGAUGAUCGUUCUUAGCUCCAACUGAUAAUAGGUGAAUUUGACUAUAAUCACACC